rnacentral:tRNA from 1 species
UCCUGGUUACCUUAGUUCGUAAAGCGCUCCACUGGAAAUGGGAGAGGUCCCUGGUUCGAUACCAGGACCAGGCG